rnacentral:rRNA from 1 species
CAGCAGCCACGGUAAUACGAAGGGUGCAAGCGUUAAUCGGAAUUACUGGGCGUAAAGCGUGCGUAGGCGGUGAGUUAAGUCUGCUGUGAAAUCCCCGGGCUCAACCUGGGAAUGGCAGUGGAUACUGGCUCGCUAGAGUGUGUCAGAGGAUGGUGGAAUUCCCGGUGUAGCGGUGAAAUGCGUAGAGAUCGGGAGGAACAUCAGUGGCGAAGGCGGCCAUCUGGGACAACACUGACGCUGAGGCACGAAAGCGUGGGGAGCAAACAGGAUUAGAUACCCCGGUAGUCCCUGUCUCUUAUAC